rnacentral:rRNA from 1 species
AGCGAACGCUGGCGGCAGGCCUAACACAUGCAAGUCGAACGAAGUCUUCGGACUUAGUGGCGGACGGGUGAGUAACACGUGGGAACGUACCUUUUGGUUCGGAACAACUCAGGGAAACUUGAGCUAAUACCGGAUGAGCCCUUAGGGGGAAAGAUUUAUCGCCGAAAGAGCGGCCCGCGUUAGAUUAGCUAGUUGGUGAGGUAAAGGCUCACCAAGGCUACGAUCUAUAGCUGGUCUGAGAGGAUGAUCGGCCACACUGGGACUGAGACACGGCCCAGACUCCUACGGGAGGCAGCAGUGGGGAAUCUUGCGCAAUGGGCGAAAGCCUGACGCAGCCACGCCGCGUGAAUGAUGAAGGUCUUAGGAUUGUAAAAUUCUUUUACCAGGGACGAUAAUGACGGUACCUGGAGAAAAAGCCCCGGCUAACUUCGUGCCAGCCGCCGCGGUAAAAC